rnacentral:rRNA from 1 species
UGGGGAAUAUUGGACAAUGGGCGAAAGCCUGAUCCAGCAACGCCGCGUGGGUGAUGAAGGCCUUCGGGUCGUAAAGCCCUGUCAGCGGGGAAGAAACUCCAAUGGUCUAAUAGGCCGUUGGAUUGACGGUACCCGCGGAGGAAGCACCGGCUAACUCCGUGCCAGCAGCCGCGGUAAAACGGAGGGUGCGAGCGUUGUUCGGAAUUACUGGGCGUAAAGCGCGUGCAGGUGGUUUUUUAAGUUCCGUGUGAAAUCCCCCGGCUUAACCGGGGAACGGCGCGGAAAACUGGAAGACUUGAAUACGGGAGAAGUGGGCGGAAUUCCCAGUGUAGAGGUGAAAUUCGUAGAUAUUGGGAGGAACACCGGUGGCGAAAGCGGCUCACUAGACCGAUAUUGACGCUCAUACGCGAGAGCGUGGGUAGCAAACAGG